rnacentral:rRNA from 1 species
GACGAACGCUGGCGGCGUGCCUAAAACAUGCAAGUCGAACGAGGUAGCAAUACCUAGUGGCGAACGGCGGAGUAAUACAUGAACAACGUGCCCUGAAGUCCGGGACAAACGCAGAAAUGUCAUAAAUACCGGAUGUGGCCCCUUAUUGGCAUCAGUGAGGGAUUAAAUGGUUUUUCGCUUCAGGAGCGGUUCAUGGCCUAUCAGGUAGUUGGUGGGGUAAUGGCCUACCAAGCCGACGACAGGUAGCGGGUCUGAGAGGAUGAUCCGCUCGAGUGGGACUGAGACACGGCCCACACACCUACGGGUGGCAGCAGUUGGGAAUCUUGGUCAAUGGAGGGAACUCUGAACCAGCCAUCCCGCGUGAAGGAUGAAGGGGCUCUGCCUUGUAAACUUCUUUUGCAUGGGACGAAAAAACUUAAUUUAUUAAGGACUGACGGUACCAUGAGAAUAAGCACCGGCUAACUCCGUG